UGUCUUACUAAAAUAGUUAAUAAAACAUCGUCAGCCUUAAAAAUACUUCUUCUAGAAUUUUCAUAUGAUCCUUAAACAAUUUUCCUAAGUCAAUAAUGUCAUAAAAGGGUAAACCAGACAAGUCUUCUAGGACAGUGCUGUUAAAAUCGUUUUCAUCAGCCGGUUAAAAGUGGCAGAAGCCCUACGAAAGUCUAGCUUGGAACAGAUCUUCAAUCCAGCCAGGGUGUCCAAACUGUCAUCAAUACGAGGAAAACAAUAAAUGUUUAUCUAAAGUUUAUAUAAAAUGUUUAAAUAUCAUUAAAACAUUGUGUAAAUUGC